UAUGGCUUGAUGCAUCUCCAACUGCCCUCUCAUGGUCCAUGGUCAUUAGGAGGAAAAGGAAGAAAUCUAAAGAUGGACCAGGGAUCAUUUUUUUCCACAGAUGCUGCCUUCCACACUGUGCGAAAACAUCAUCGUCUCAUCUCUUGAGCAUGACUUAUUUCCAUUUUUUAUUUCUGUUACUUCUAUUCCAAGAUCUGCCUCCAGCUGCCUGUCUGCCACCUUGGAAUACUUUGCAGUGCCUAGUGACUGCCUAGUGGAGCCUGAUCAGUGGCUCAGAAAAGCAAAAACCUCAGCCAUUUACCAGUGGCUCACAGGAGCAGAACAGAACAGAAUCCACCACCUACCACGGGGAGCAGGACUUAUGGACAGGAAGCAAAGAUGUGAUGGGCUUUUCUGGAAAGAAUCAUAAGCCUCUAUCCUCGCCCACUCUGGCUUUGGGAGGAUGCUUAUCUUAUAAAAAUCACCUGAACCAGAAAGUCCUAUUGGAGCAAUAUUUACUGAACAUUCAAGUGGACCAGACCAUUUUUGCAGGAGAAAAAGGCAGUAACUUUAUCCCACUGGCUGGCCACACCUAAAGACUGACCUUAACCAUCUGCUUCAGACAAGCCCCUCUCCUUCAAGCCCUGGUCUGCCAUAUUUCCCCAUUCAUCUUCUUUGCGGCACUGCUAGACAGGUAAGAAGCAACAGGCUCAGACUUGCUCAAAGUCAUACUGCUACUGAGUGGAAGAGCUGAAAUUCUGUCUCAGUAGGUUUGGUUCCAGAGCCUGUGAUCUUAUCCACUGCCCACAGUCAUAACCACAAUCCCUUUGAUAUUAUGAGUGAAUGAAGGAAUAAAUGAUCAUACCAGAGAUGAUCUGAUUUCUUAAGACCCACAUCAUAUUUUCUGGGAUACAGUGAGAAGUUGGCGCCCUGUACUCUGGAAGAGGGCCCUCACCCAAACGACCAUUCUGGUACCUUAAUCUUGGACUUCCAGUAUCCAGAACUAUGAGAAAUAAAUUUCUGUUGUUUAAAACACACCCAAUCUACAGUAUUUUGUCAUAGCAGCUGAAACUGAGAUACCAGUAUUUUCUGAACACGGCAGGAUUCAAGGACCACGUGAAUGUUUGUGUGUGAGUGGCAGGGCUGGCUUUAUCACAUUAUCACACUUCCCUCGUACGACUGAAAACAAGCAAAUUUGAGUUAAUAUAGAAGGGUUAUUCCCAUGUUCUGCCACAUCUGAGAAAGCUGAGUUCCAGAGAACAUCAGUGACAGUCCAAAGUCAUGCGGGGUGGUAGGUCCAGGGGAAAAGAGGCCUUGCCUCUUUUGUUUGCUACUGUAUUCCUGAUAUCUAGAACAGUACUUUGCUCUCAGCAGAAGUUCUUGGGUAGCUGCAUCACAAACACCCUUGGAACAUAAAUGAGAAGGAGGUGCCAGUUCAGAGCCCUUUCUUAACUAGAGCUUCCAGAGAGGGUGUCCUGCUCUUCCAGCGUGUCUUCUCUUCCAACCCUUUUGGCAUGGACAUGGUGAUAUGGCCCAACUGAAACCAGGACUGGAAUCACAACCAGUAUCAUCUCCCAGCUUUAUAAUGUUGGGAAGCCAUAACUACUGCUUUCUAACCUCAACCACCUUCUUAACCUCUGGAAACCACUAUUCUCCAUUUCU